GAUGAACGCUAGCGGGAGGCUUAACACAUGCAAGUCGAGGGGCAGCAUAGAGUAGCAAUACUUUGAUGGCGACCGGCGCACGGGUGAGUAACGCGUAUGUAACCUACCCUGUACAGGGGGAUAGCCCGGAGAAAUUCGGAUUAAUACCCCAUAAUGAUAUCGAGAGGCAUCUUUUGAUAUUUAAAGCUUCGGCGGUACGGGAUGGGCAUGCGUGACAUUAGCUAGUGGGUAAGGUACCGGCUUACCAAGGCUGGGAUGGCUAGGGGUCCUGAGAGGGUGAUCCCCCACACUGGUACUGAGACACGGACCAGACUCCUACGGGAGGCAGCAGUGAGGAAUAUUGGUCAAUGGGCGUAAGCCUGAAACAGCCAUCCCGCGGGAAGGAAGAAGGCGCUAUGCGUCGUAAACUUCUUUUCCAGAGGAAUAAAAUUUUGUACGCGUACAGAACUGAAGGUACUCUGGGAAUAAGCAUCGGCUAACUCCGUGCCAGCAGCCGCCGUAAUAC
rnacentral:rRNA from 1 species